rnacentral:rRNA from 1 species
ACGGAAGGCAGCAGCUAAGAAUAUUCCGCAAUGGACGAAAGUCUGACGGAGCGACGCCGCGUGGAUGAUGAAGGUCGGAAGAUUGUAAAAUCCUUUUAUAACUGAGGAAUAAGUACUGUCAGAGAAAGGCAGUAUGGUGACUGUAGGUUAUGAAUAAGCAACGGCUAAUUACGUGCCAGCAGCCGCGGUAAUACGUAAGUUGCGAGCGUUGUUCGGAAUUAUUGGGCGUAAAGGGCAUGUAGGCGGAUAUGCAAGCUUGGUGUGAAAGGCGGGAGCUUAACUCCCGGACUGCGUUGAGAACUGCAUAACUAGAGUGACUGAGGGGCAGGCAGAAUUCCAGGUGUAGGGGUGAAAUCUGUAGAUAUCUGGAAGAAUACCAAUGGCGAAGGCAGCCUGCCAGCAGAUGACUGACGCUGAGGUGCGAAGGUGCGGGGAGCAAACAGGAUUAGAUACCCUGGUA